rnacentral:other from 1 species
AGUCAUCUGAGUUGUUCGUAAGUAUGCUUUUUAAUUUGGGCCUAACACUCUUUGAUCAAGGGAGCCCAAUGGGUUUUCUUGCAGCGUACACGCCUUAUAUGAAGGACGUACAAAACAAGAAACAGGGCACCCACCUGUAUAUAACAGGCCGAAUGAUCAAGCUAUUAUAACUACGGCAAUACGGACUCUAU